AAUAGUCGUUAUGUUAUAUACAUUAAGAAAGGAGAUUACAAGGAGAAUAUUGUGAUAGAUAAGAAUAAGCGGAAUAUAAUGCUACUUGGUGAUGGCCUGAAGGAUACUAUUAUAACUGGCAACUUGAAUUAUGCUUCUGGAACUGGAACCUAUGAUACCCCAACCAUUGGUAAAAUUUACUUAUAUCCUUUUCACUUUUGGUUCUAUAGUUUAAUGUAUUCUAGGUAUAACAUUUACAAGUUGUUGGUUGGAUUUGUGUGAUGCAGCAAGUAACGCAGACGGAUUUAUAGCACAAAAUAUGCGUAUCCGAAACACAGCAGGACCAAAGGGGCACCAAGCCGUGGCACUUCGUGUCACUGGGGACAAAUCUGUCAUCAACAAGUGCAAAAUAGAUGCCUAUCAAGACACACUCUACGCCCACAACCAACGUCAGUUCUACAAGGACUGCUACAUUACUGGAACUGUCGAUUUCAUCUUUGGUCAGUAAUAUUAAAAUGUUCGGUCGACCAAGUUGAAGUAACAUAGUUUUUAUUUAUUAUGAAGGAUGAUUUUUCUUCUUCUUUUUUUCAGGUAAUGCAGCAGUGGUGCUUCAAAAGUGCAACAUAGUGGCUAGGAAGCCAUCGAGCGGACAACAAAACAUGGUAACAGCGCAAGGCAAGACGGAUAAGAACCAAAACACCGGAACUUCAAUACAAAGUUGUAAAAUAACCCCAAGCUCAGACUUAAAACCUGUUAUCAAAAGUUUUAAGACAUUCUUGGGACGUCCAUGGAAGAAAUUCUCAACAACGGUUUACAUGGAGUCUUACAUUGAUAACCAUAUAGAUCCAGCAGGGUGGGCCCCUUGGGAUGGUUCAUUGUACUUGGAUACAUUGUACUAUGGUGAGUACAAGAACAAUGGGCCAGGUUCUGAUACUAGCAAAAGGGUAAACUGGAAGGGUUAUCAUGUUAUUACUAAAGCUUCUGAGGCCAUAAAAUUUACUGUGUCUCGACUGCUUGGAGGAGGGUCCUGGAUUAAAGAUGCUGGAGUGUCCUUCAUAUCUGGGCUUUCAACCUAGUGUAUAUUAUUGGUAUCUUAAUUUCACCGAGCACGAAUCUGUUUGAAUUAGCUGAUAAAAAGUAGGUGAAAUAAUAUCUACUGAAAAACACUUUUAGGUGAUGAAACUAAUUUUAUAAAUAAAUACGUGCUUGGAUGAAAGUGCUGAAUUCAUAAUAAUCUUAUAGUAGUAUGUUUUCUUUUUAUAAACAUCAUAAAUAACUACUUAGGACUUAUAAAAAAACACUUAAAAGAUACAAAUCUACCCCAACCCCAACCCCCACAAAAGAAAAAAGGGCAAACCACAAAAAUCCGCCAAAGAAACUAAUUACAGAGAAUCUCCACUAGUUUUUUCUCUCCCUAAUUUUAGCAAAAUAAAUUAGGCAAGUUAUUAUACAUGUGGCAAAUGUACGAGGAAACAGAGAUUCCUUACUUUAAGGAAUGUGAAAUGAUUAUUUUGGUUGCUUUUCUUAAACUACCGAACCUAAUUAGCUAGCUUUAGUUUUUUUUGUGCUGGAUAAACGUAUUAACUUUUAUUUGAAUUUCAAAGCCAAUGUUAAUUGCCAUAAUUUUAUUUUAUUUUUGGUUUUGCAAUCUAUCAUUCAAGAUCAACAAAGGAAAAAACAACAAAUUUGUUACCUAAGUUUUUUAGUGCUAUAAUUUUUUAUUUUAUUUUAUUUUAUUUGUUGUAUCUAAGUUCUUCAGUGCUACAAAAAAAAUUAAAGUUAAUUAUAUGGUUGAAGGAAAUUCUUCUCCAAUCGCCAUGGAUUGAGAUUCUAGAUCCGAAAAGGAAAAAAAUUUAAUUUUCUUAUACCCAUUUUUCCAUUUAAUUUGUCUCUCUUUCCCAUUCAAUUUAUCUCAUAUGGAGAACAUGAAGAACAUUUUUGAAUACAUUUUUCCACGCUCAAAUUUAAGCAAUCAUAUACUUACAGGCCUCUUUUUCGAAACUCGAUCAACUUGUCACUCAUCCUGACCAAAGAUUGUCUAAAAUAAAAGACUAUCUCUUCUACCGAUCGAGUCGAACUACAAGCAGUCUGAUUCUCUGAAAUCUUGGGGAUAUGUAGGCUGGGAUCUAUGUAGAAAACUGUACUGCAUUCCAACCUCCCCCAAUUCCUUUAUUACCUAGUUUCUCGGUUUUAUCAAAAACUCUAAAACCGAGAUAGCUCGUGAAUUUUUUAAAAAUCGUGCUUUAAAUCAACUCUACGAACUACAAGUGGCCUGAAUUCCCAUGUAACUUGAGAUAUGUAGGAAACCUAAUACCGAGGUUCGGCCAUGACUCUAUGAAACUCGCACGAAAAUCAGCCUCUUUCAGAUUUGAAUCUAUGGUCGGACAAAAAUUAGGAACGUCAACCUCCCUUUCCCUAGGGUUACUUACAUCCACCCUACCCAAAGGGAUGGGGCAGUUGUUGACACCUAAUUUUUGCCUUCCAUGACUAAAUUUAAUCCUGAGUUUCUUCAAUUUUUAAUAAAACCAAAAUAAUUAUUUCAUCCAAAUGAAAAAAAUUAAAAUAUUUUUCGCACGUGAUUUUGUCAUUUUAAGUAACGAUUAUAUACUAUCGUGUUCAAUUAUACGAGAUUAUAUAAUUUGUUACUUAAAUAUUUAUUUUACAAAAUAUCGAAUUUAAUUAAAGCUCAUCUUAAAAAUAUAAAUUCAAAUGAUUAAAAUCUUGAUUUAAAUAUAAGUUAUUCUCAAAAAUAAUUUAUUUGGAUAAAUAUGCAUUUGAUUUAUUAAAUCAAGAAGCUCGGGAUUAAAAAAAAAAGCAUUAAUUCGUAUCGAAUUUUAAUUUUAUUUAGCCAAUCUUUUAGAUUACCAUAAUUGAAAAUUGGUCAUAAUUGCAAUGCAAUUCGUCAAUUGAUUUUUAAUUUGGUCAAAAUAAAUAAAUAUGGCUAAAUUUUAAAUUCCAAUUGGGGUUAUAUUUUAAAUAAUUCCAAAAUUCUCAAGAACUCUCAUAAUUUCUAUCCAAUUCCCACCAAAAAAUAAAUUCAAAUUAUACUACAUUAUACUAUUCCCCCCAACUUUAUCUUUUUUCAAUUUUGAAAUUCAAAGAUUGUACUACAUUGUAUUAUUUCUCCCUACAUUAUCUUCCAUCCACCUUAUCUUUAAUUUUUACAUUCCAAAAAUCCCCCUAAAUGUUUUUUCUCUCACAUUGGUGGAUGACAAGAAAUAAAUCUCCAUCCUUUCCUAUAAAUACUUUUCUUCCACAUUGGUGGAAGAGAGGAAAAAAAAUUCUUUUUUUCCCUAUAAAUACUACCACUAUUUUGGUAGAAAAAAAGGGGAAAAGGAAGAAAAAGAAGAGGCUAGAAAGGUGAAAAAAUCCUUUUGAGCAAAAUAAUUACUUUUAUUUAGUAAAAAUUUUUGUUUCAUAGAGUAGGUCGGCUAAUCAAAAUUUUUGAGUUGUCGGCAACGUUUUUCGGUGAUAGUUAAUUCCGACGAAACUCGUAGUCUCAUUUUGCUGCCCCCAAAAGGUAAACACACCUUUUCUUUUCUUUUUUUUUUUUUUUAGUUUUUAUUAUCGUUUUUCUCUUCAUUUUUUUUUCUUCUUCGUAGUUCGUAGAUAUAAUUUUGUUUGUUGGCAUUAUAUGUUGUAGAUGGCCUUGAAGGCCCUAAAACGUUGUGGUAUCGAUAUUCUAAUUAUUUUCAUGUUCAUGAUAUAAAAUGAGCUAGCAAUAGUUGUAUGUGCCUUCUUUGACUUUAUUCUUUGAUUAUUUUCGAUAAAGUUUCAAUCUUUGCUUAAAAGAUGUAUUUAUAUUUUGUUUAAACUCAUUGUUGUUGGAUAUAUUUGUUUUUAGUAUGUAGAGUUAUUUUUUUUAUGUUGAAAAGAAUAGUUAAUAUUGAUUCUUUUGCCUUUUGAUCUUAUUCUUUAAUUAUUUUGAAUAAAGUUUAGAUCUUUACUUGAAAAGACAGACUCAUGUCUUGUUUAAACUCAUUAUUGGUAGAUAUAUUUAUAUUUAACAUGUGAAGUUAUUUUCUUUAUAUUGAAAAGAAUGGUUAAUAUUGAUUGUUUUGCCUUUUGGCUUAUUCUUUGAUUGUCAUAUAUAAAGUUUUGAUCUUUGCUCAAAGGCGAACUCAUGCCUUGUUUAAAUUUAUUGUUGGUCAAUAUAUUUGUUUUAGCAUGUAAAGUUUUUUUUUUUAUGCUGAAAAAAUAGUUACUAUUGUUUAUUUUUCCUUAAUAAAAAUAGUAAUUGAGUAAAUCAAGAAUUUUUAAUUUGCUUGUUAAUUAUUUUAAUGGAUUUCAAAUCUUCAUAUAGGAGAUGAAGUGAUAGCUUUAUUUUCUAUCCACGAUGUUUUUUUUUUAAUUUUUUCUCAUGUUUUUUUUUAAAAUUUGUCAAAAUGAUGAGAAAGUUCGAAUUUUUGUGGCUAAAUAGAAUUAUUUAGAUAUUUCCGAGUCAUGCAUAGUAUGAUUGUGAAACGAUAUUUCACUUUUGAAAAUGCUAAACUUUUAUUCUAAUUUUAUUACUCCUUUUGGUUUGUUAUAUGUGCUCUUUGUGAGUGUACAGAUUUGAUUCAUGUCUCUCUUUUAUUCAUAAUCUCAAAAGAGAAUCAACGAUUUCUUAGAAAUAAAAAUCAUAGGUCGUUACACGUUUUUUCAAUAAGAUAUUGGUUGUAAUUUAUAUGUAUGAGUUUUUGUUAAUGUUGUCUUGAUUGAAAUUUAAAGAUUCUCUCUUUUUGAAAAGUUAGUCUUUAUUUUCUUUUGUUAUGUGGAUUGGUGUCUAUGUUUGUUCAAUUCUAGAAAUCAUGAGUAUUUUUCUUGUUGCCUCAUCCCUUUACUUUCGUAAGCUUACGUUGUUUGUUUCUUGCAUUAAUUCAUUGAAUAUGACCUUCUUCCCUUUACCUUUAUUUAUUCUUAAUAUGAACAUAAAUCAUGAGGCAUGUAAGUGAUUGUCUUUGUUUUGCAUUUUUUGUUGUAUGCUCUCAUUCUUGUGCAAGUGUGCUUAUUCUUGUCAUUUAAAAAUUGGUUCUUAUACGUGGGUUUGAUGCCGCAAGUCAACGUGCACGAUAUGCUUCACUACUGUGGCAUUAAGAAGUCGAAAAGGCAAAACAUUGGUACACAAGUGAUAAUGGCAAUCCGCCUCAGGCUAGUAAUACUGUUCUGAUGUAAUUGAUACAAGUGAAAUUGUUACUUUAGAGUAGCAUUAUUUUUAAAAUAGUCGGCAUUGAAAAAACUUAUUCUUUAUUUUUUGUUUCAUGUUAAACAAUUCCAACUUUACUUUCUUGAUGUUAAUGCACAUUUUAGGGAUGACUUCUUAUUUUUAAAAAAAUUAUUUCCAGGUACUAACACACUACUGUAAUGCUACCAACUAGUUCUGGAAAAAUUACAAAACUAGUUCACACCAUUUAAUUUUUUAAAGUACGAAAUAUUUCAUACAUUGAAACAAAUGUAUAAUCUCAUAUCACCAUAACACUGUUCUAUGAGAGUUUCCGUUGUUUCUUAUUAAAGAUUGCAAAAAUUAGGGUAUCAAAAUAUUGAAAUAUUUUUGAGUUGGUUAUGGAAAUUUUCAAUAUUACAUUUUCUCCCUUUUUGUAUAAUAUGUUAGCAUACAUUAAAGCCUAUGUAUAAUGAAACUUUGUCAUUCCAAUAAACUUGCUAAUGUAUAAUAUGUUGUUAUACAUUGAAAUAAUUGUAUAAUGAAACUGUGCCGUUCCAGUAAACAUUCAAAUGUAUAAUGUUGGUUCACAUGUAUGACAACAUAAUUAUACGUUGAUUCACAUGUGUGAUAAAUUCUUUUACAUGUAUGAUAUCAUAUGCUAGGUUCACGAGCCUUGGAUUCUAUUUUUCAAUUUCAACAAGAUGUGAUUUUCUUUCACCUUUUUGAAAAGGUUGUUGCCUCUUUUGAAAGUCUUUGUCCACCUUUUAGGUAACGAGACUUUUCAAAUCCUUAUUUUCUUCUUUCUUUCUUUUAUAAGUCUUGGAAUAUAUUUUAAGACAAACAAAGACCACACUUUUGAUACGUUGAUUCAGAUAUAUGACAGUAGGUUCAGAUGUAUGAUAUGUUGGUUCAGAUGUAUAACGGUAGGUUCAGAUGUAUGAUAGCACAUGUCAAAAUUAAUAAAAGUUGUUAUACAUGAUUGUGGGUAACUUAUUCAUUUACGAACAAACUGCAUUAACGUAUAAUAAAAUCAAUCCUAAUCGCUGUAGAAUUGCACAUGUAUGAGGGUAACUUAUACAUCUAACAAAAAGUACAUCUCAACGUGUUAGCACACAUUAAAGCCUAUGUAUAAUGAAACUUUGCCAAUCCAGUAAAACUUGCGACUGUAUAAUAUGUUGUUAUAAAUUCAAAUUGUUGUAUAAUGAAACUGUGCCGUUCCAGUAAACAUUCGAAUGUAUAAUAUUGGUUCACAUGUAUGAUAAAUUGGUCCACAUGUAUGAUAUCAUAAUUAUAUAAUAAUUCACAUGUAUGAUAAUUUUUUUUACAUGUAUGAAAUAAUAUUCUAGGUUCACAAGCCUUGGAUCCUAUUUUUCAAUUUCAACAAGAUGUGAUCUUUUUGGAAAAGCUGUUUUAAGACAAACAAAGACAACACUUAUUUCUUCUUAUUUUUGUAUCAAAUCACCACUAUUUGAAUGGUCUUCUUCAACAACAUCUAAAAAGCAUGAAGAACACAAACAACAUUAAAAAAAAAAUGAUAAAUUGGUUCACAUGUAUGAUAUGAGUUUUUAAUUUUUUUUUUGUAACAAAAAAAUCAAAUAUCUAACUUGUACUAUACGAAAAAAAAUAAAAUGAACUACUAAACUUGAACAUGAUUGAAGAAUAAUGAAAUUUGAACAUGCAAAUGAAGAAUAAACGAAAACCCCCUUAAUUGGUAAAGUUGAACUUGACAGAAAAAUUAAAAAAAUUAAUGAACUAGAAUAUUAAACACAAUUAAAUCUUUAUAUCUUACUAUAUGAAAAUCAAAGAUCUAACUUGUACUAUAUGAAAAAAAAAAAUCUAAAAAAACAAACUACUGAAUUUGAAUAGAAUUGAAGAAUAAUGAAUUUAAACAUGUAAAUGAAGAAAAAACGAAAACUCCUAAAUUGGACAACACAGAAAAAAAUUAAAAAAAUAAAAUAACUAAAAUAUUAAAAACAAUUAAAUCUUGAUAACUUACAAUUUGAUAAUCACUAAGUACUUUAAAACAUGGAGUCAAAGUCGGAUGAGUAAUGAGAGAAUUAGCCAAAAGAAAAUCCAAAGCAGUGUUUCAAGCUUUCAAAAAUGGAGUCAGAUUCAGGAUGAGUAAUGAAAGCAUUAUCCAAAAGAAAAGCUAAAACAGUGUUUCAAUUAUAGAAUAUAAUCAUUACUUGCUUUUUCUUUUUCUUAAAUUAUGACAAUAAUUUAACUUCAUCUUUCUUUUACUUUUUGGUCGGAUGAAACAUUGGGAUUUCACACGUAUGAGAAAUUAUUAACUAAAGAGAUUUUUGUAAUUAUUUUGGUAUUUUUAUAAAUAUUUUACCCAUUUGAGAUUUAAUGUAAUUACUUUACUUUAACUUAUAUAUAUAUAUAUAUGAUUUUCAGAAAAAAAAAAAAGAACUUGAAAGUUAGUUUCAACUUUCAAAUAAGGCUUGGGCCAGCUUAUUAGGUACUAUGGGCUGGGCUCAAUUUGGAUCAAGACCUUCAAUUUGCAAAUGUGUGAUUUCUUAAUGAGUUAUUUCUCCGUCCAUUACAGAGCUGCUUAAUAAACACACAACUGUGAGUAAGAACUAGGGGAUGAUAAUACGUAACCUAAUAUUUUCAUGCUUAAAUUUGAAGUUUUGGACCUCCCUAGGUUAAUAUAAGAUGUGAAAUCAAGCAAAAGUUACAUGUAAACUAGUCAUUGUUUGCACUGUAUCAAAUGACCCCUUAGAAUUUUUAUCGUGUCUUUGAGUGUUGAUUCUGUGGAUUACGCUAAUAUUCAUAUGUUUUAAUACAUAGGAGCGUCUUGAGAGAUUUGGAGCUUAAACAAUAGAAAAUGAAUCAAAAUCGGCCAUAUAAAGAUCGACAUUGCAAAGCAUCACAGAAGUAGCGAAAAAGGCCAAAUUUUAUGCCCCUAGCUUUCGCCACAAGAUUGCUUUGCAAGAGUGGCCAAGGGUUUCAGCACUUACUUUUCUCCAGUGGAGGAAGCAGUGAUGCGAGUUUUGACUGCUCUCUCUCUUUUCCUUGCGCCAUAGGUUUGCUUUGUAAGCAUAUGACGUGAGCUUGAGUCUUCCUAUUUCCUAAACUCUAGUCCUUUAUACAUUUUUGUGCAUAAGAAUUCGGAUUUUGUGAAGCUGGGAAAAAUGAAUGUUUGUGAAGAAAGAGCUAGGGANNNNNNNNNNNNNNNNNNNNNNNNAGGGAAAGAUUCAAGAAUGAAGGUUUAGUUUUUUCUUUGAUUUUUUUUCAUUAUUGAAGUUUAAAUUCAUGAAUUCUCUCUCUUAGAGAAUUAUGAGUAGCUAAAAACUUAAAUUUUAGGGUUUGGCGAAUACAUGCAUGAUAACUGACAUUUGAUUAUUGAUUAUAUUUAUUCAAGUUUUUCAAUUGUCAGUUAUUUAUUUUUACUUGAUUUUAGUUAUCUAAUGAAUUAAAUUUAAAUAGUUAAACACUAUUUGUGACUCAUAAAUUGAACUUGAAAAGGAAAUUUGAUGAGCACAAUACUAAGGAAUAAGACUUGUUUGUGAACAUUUCAUCUUAAGCAGAAAGAUUAGCUAAUGGGAUAGAAUUCGAUCGACCAUAGAAAUAUAGGUGUUAUAAUUAAACAUUAGUCGAAUAGUCUUAGAAUUGUUGGAUAAAAAUUCAACAAGCGAUAUUAACCUUUAACUAUUAGCUCAGAAAAAUAAAUAAAUAUAUGACGAUAUAAAAAUUAAACCAGAUUGUUAAAAUCAAAGUCCUGGACAUACAUUUUUUCAAUUUGAUAACAACCAACGGGUUAUUGGUACCCUCAACUAUUUAUUUAUCGAAUAGCAAAAUACUAAUUUAAAUUAGAUAAUCAAUUUUUUAAAUCUUUAUGAGUACGAUAUUUGAACUUUACAAUCCUAUAUUAUUUAUAGGAUUGCAUACACUUGCACGUCUACAUUUCGGACGUGAUAUUUGAUCCUCAAAAAUCCUAAUCUCCAUAGCAAGUUGACAAGUGGAAAAUAUAUUUCUUUUAAAAACCUGUGUCACGUGUUAAAAUGAAUUUCAAUAGUACUACAACGAGAAAUACUCUCUUUACUAGGUACUAAUAAGUUACAAUGCCAAUCAAAACAAAAAAAAACAAGAAACAAAGAUUGAAUAAUGCAGUAUUAUCCAUAUUGGUCCAGCAGGAUUGUCUUCAUUCUAAACAUUAACUCAUUAAGUUGCCGUUGGCCAUGAGUGUUUUUUCAUUUUAUUUUUUGAAAAAUUACUUCACUUUAGUAAAAACGAGUGAAAAUCAUAAUGGUUGGCCAUGAAAAUUCGAAAUACAAUUUGGAAUUGUAUUUUGGUACAAAAUUUCAAAAACAACUUUAAUUUAUAUUUAUGGUCAAACACAACUCUAACUCAAAUUUCAAUUUCAACUCUAUUUCCAAUUCCGAAAAAUUAUUAUGUUAUCUUGGCCAAACGGGACCUAAUAAAUGCUCCAUUUUUUUCAUUUUAUUUGGUUGUAGUAUACUAACUGAGGUUCUUCUUUAGAAAUAUUUAUUAAAAUUUUAUUUUAUGUUUUUAAAAUUUAAUUUUAAAUAUUAAUAUUUUAUAGAGUCAUUUAAUGCUAGGAGUAUGAUUAAAAUAAAAACCAUAUAUAUUGAUGAUAAUGUAAGAAAUACUACACUGUAAAUCUAAUUUACGAGGUUGCUUAACUUGUUUUCGUUGGUCAUAAAAAACGCAAUUAUUAUAGAUAAUUACGCUUAAACAUAAAAUGGUUCUUAUCAUAGAUUGAGUUUUCCUUUUUAAAGAAAGUUUUCCUUCGUUCACUUUUAUUCAUCACUUAUUUUUUAAUUGAGCUUUCAUUUUUACUUGUUAUUUUUUAUAUAUAAAGAAAACAUAACUUUUGUUUUUCUAUAUUACCCUUAACAUUUUGUUUUUUUCUCCAAAUUAAUAUGAAGGCACAAUAAUAAACAUCAUUUAAUAGAGAUGUUAUGAUAAACAGAUAAAAUAAUUAUGCCGUUAGUUAUUUUUCUUAAUAAGUGUAUAAGUUAAAAUAUAACAACUAAAAGUAAACGGAGGGAGUAUUAUAAUUGGUGAAAUAUCUGAAGCCUUAUAUGCAUGGGAAAACUUUAUAGUAGUACUAUAAGCUCUCAAAAUAUAUAUAACGAGAUUCUUUUUUUCUUUUUGAAAAAAAAUAUAGCAGUAUUUUCUUUUUAAAUGUAGAAAAUUAAAAUACAUUGUGCAUGUAUAUAAAAUCUAAUCCUAAUUGAGACCACAGAAAUAUAAUCUGAUUGUAGUUGUAUCAUGUAUGUGUAUGCAUGUUUGCACAUGUUUCGAAAACAUUGUGAACGCUUCGUGUGACAUUCGUUUCUUAUCCCAUUCUAUCUAUUUAAGGGCUUUGAAAUUUUAUUUGUAGCUCACUCAAGUCACCAACCAUGGCAACUUCAAGUGAACCUUUACUAAACUCAACUAAAACAAACAACUUUUCCUUCAAAUCUCUCUAUAUUUUUAUAGCCGUAGCUGCUGCUGUUUGCUCCAUUGCAAUACUUUCUAUUGCAUUCUUCAAUGGCAGCAUUGAUUACUCUUUUCUUUCCACCAAAUCCCCCACAGGGUCUGAAGUAACAACACCAUCUUCUGCCAAAACCAACAACGUUGAAAUGUUACAAAUGAUUUUGCAAAAAACGUCGUCCCAAAUCCAAGAAACCACUACGUUGAUUGAAAAUGUUCGUCUUCGGAUUAAUGACAUAAGAGAGGAAUCAGCUCUAAGAAUUUGCUCAGAAUUGAUGGACCUGUCUCGUGACAAAAUCACGGACACCAGGGUGGCACUUGGGAAGUUGAUGACUACUACUUCUUCGAAUUCGAUUUAUUUCGAUGCUCAUACAUGGCUUAGUGCUGUCCUCACAAACCAUAACACUUGUCUGGAUGAACUUCAUGGUCAUGAAGCCCAUUCAAUCUUACAGCCCAGCCUCUCAGACUUGAUGUCAAAAGCAAGUGCUUCAUUGUCCUUAAUGGUUUCAAUAGCACCAAAAACAACGUACCAUGAUGACCUUAGCCAUCCACUACGAGGAGAAUUUCCCGCAUGGGUUAGUCCAAAAGAUAGGGAGAUAUUGGAAGCUAAUCCAGAAUUACUGAAAAUUAAUGCUAACGUGGUGGUGGCGAAAGAUGGUAGCGGCAAAUACAAGACUGUUAAACAAGCUAUUGCAGCGGCACCGGUUAAUAGAAAUAGUCGUUAUGUUAUAUACAUUAAGAAAGGAGAUUACAGGGAGAAUAUUGUGAUAGAUAAGAAUAAGCGGAAUAUAAUGCUACUUGGUGAUGGCGUCAAGAAUACUAUCAUAACUGGCAACUUGAAUUAUGCUUCUGGAACUGGAACCUAUGAUACCCCAACCCUUGGUAAAAUUUUCUCUCCUACAUCCUUUUCACGUUUGGUUCUACUAGUUUAGGUGUUAAAUUCAAACAUUACACUAAAUAUGAUAUUUGUUUAAAUAAUAAAGAUGAAUACAAUAAUUAAAUUUAAUAUCUUUUGGAGAAUUUAAUAAACUAAACCUAACUUUUACCAAAAAAAAUUAUCAAAGUUGAUCAACAUUCAUCUACCUGUAAACUGCAACAAGACAAUACGAUGAUAGAAACAUCAAAACAAUAUAAUUAAAGUGUUUAAGUUUUGUGCACCGUCAGUGUACAAAAUAUUCUACACUGUCAGUUAACUUAACUUACUAUUGCAAGUUACCAAAUUAUUUACAUAAGAAUUAAAAAAGAAAAAAUUAGGUAACGUGCAAUAACAAGUCAAGUUUACCUGAUAGUAUAGAAUAUUUUAUACACUGUCGGUGCACAAAACUUAAAUUCAUAAUUAAAUCUAACCUUUACAGAAAAAUUUUCUCAAAGUUAUUUGACACUCAUCUACCACAUGUAAAUUAUAACAAAAUAAUACAAUAAUAGAGUUAUCAAAAUAAUACAACUAAACUUAACAUUAACACAAAAAAAAUUCUCAGAACAGAGACACAAAAACAAUAUAACUAAAACUAAUCUUUACCUAAAAAAUUCCUCAAAGUUGUACGACAUUCAUCUACUAUUUGUAAAUUCGUCUACGACCUAUGUAAACUACAACAAAAUAACACAAUAGUGGUCAUAAAACUUCAGUUUUGAUAAAAAUAACUUUUGUCUAAGCGAAAAUUUUGACCCUAAAGAAUGACUUGGAUGAAAACAAAGAAGAUAUAUAUAUACAUACACGUUGAAGUCUAUUAUAUUGUCAAAACAAUGAAGAAGUUGAGAGUUAGAAAAUUAAGCAUCUAUCAAUCUAGACAUGCAACCGAAUCAAGUUAGAUUAGUAUCAAUCAUAUUUUUUCAAUAAGUAAAUCGAUUUCUUCUCUAGUUUAACGUGCAUGUCAAUAUCUAUAGAAGUAUUUUCCUUAAUAGAGUCCUAUUUUAGGAGUAUUUUUCUAUCCUAUUUUAGAAGUAUUUUUCUAAUUGAUCAGUACAAAGGAAAAUAUUAAUUGAUUUUCCUUCCAUAUAUUUUAGGGGUCUCAUAUAUUUUAGGAGUUAAUAUAAUAUAAAUAAUUAAAUAAUAAAUUGAAGGAAAUAAUGAAAAGACAGUUUUAUCUAAACGAAGGUCUUUUAAUGAAGAUCAAAAAGUUCAAAUCACUUUUCUAAUGGUAUUCACACUUUUAAUAUAUUAUUAUAGAUUAUAGAUUAUAAAUAUAGGUAGUUUAAUUUUCAGCAUUAACAGUGUAAAGAAUUUCUACUCUAGAUAUAGCUAACCAUUCAUUGACAUGGAAAAUUAAUCAGACUUGUUAAAAAGAAGUGGUGCAGAUACGUAAACUGACAAUAAUAAACAAAUAUAGUACUACUUCUUAGCUGACAUGGGAUAAUGUAAAAUUUGUAUAUCGAAAGUAAAGUCAAUAUGAU
rnacentral:lncRNA from 1 species